rnacentral:misc_RNA from 1 species
CCAACCCAGGACCCAGCGACAGUUAAACGGCGACUCGCCUUCCAGAAAAGUUACAGCCAAGAGCAUGGCGGAUCGUGGCGCCGGAAAAGCCUGAUUGAGGAUGCGCGGUUUGAGACGGUGACAAACAUCGAGUUCGCGAAACGAGAGCGCACCAUCAGUAACCGGGGCUCCAUCAGCGAGGAAGAGGAAGUGUUCACUCAGAAUGGGGAUACCCCGUCUCCCGUGGAAACCGACCCCUCACGGCUCUACGUCAUACUGGUCACACUAAAAGAGGGAAUGACGGCGUCAUUGUCCCGGAUAGUUCGUGUAUUUGAAACCACAAAAGUGUUCCUCGAUCAUAUAGAAUCACGGAAGUCGCACAAGGCAGGAGCCAUUUUCGAUGUUUUGAUACAAUUCGUAUGUUCCCGCCAAAAGGUGACAUCAUUGAUGAACGCCAUACGUCAGAAUCCAUCGGUGGAGGAGGUGACGGUCAUUGGGGACAAGGACGCCGACAUUCAAGAUGCAUGGUUUCCUCGACACAUAUCUGAACUGGACAACUGUACCCACCUCGUGACUAAGUUCGAACCCGAGCUAGACUGUGAUCACCCGGGGUUUACAGACGAAGAGUACAAAAAACGCCGGAAACAGAUUGCUGAUAUAGCGUUCGAAUAUAAACACGGUCACCCAAUACCAAGAGUGCAGUAUACGAGGGAAGAAAUAGCCACGUGGGGCCAUGUUUACAAGCAACUAAAGGAAUUGUUUCCUACGCAUGCGUGUCGCGAGCAUAUUGAGGCUUUCAAGGGAUUGGAGAAAGAUUGUGGCUACAGGGAGACAAAUAUACCACAACUAGAGGACGUGUCAAAAUUCCUUAAACGUAAAACCGGAUUCCAGCUGCGUCCGGUUUCGGGUUUACUCUCCGCCAGAGAUUUCCUGGCUAGCCUUGCCUUCCGGGUGUUUCAGUGUACACAAUAUGUAAGGCACGGAUCCAAGCCCGACCACUCCCCGGAACCAGAUUGUGUACACGAGUUGUUGGGCCACGUGCCAAUGUUGUCUGUUCCCGCAUUUGCGCAGUUCUCACAGGAAAUUGGUCUGGCGUCACUCGGAGCAUCAGAUCAAGAAAUAGAGAAACUAGCAACGUUAUACUGGUUCACCGUGGAGUUCGGCUUAGUUCGCCAAGACGGAAAGUUACGAGCCUACGGCGCCGGAACCCUGUCAUCCUACGGAGAGUUGAAGCAUGCGCUCUCGGACAGCCCCAAGCAACUUCCGUUCAGCCCGACUGUGACGUCAGUGCAGGAAUACACAGACGAGGAUCUCCAGCCGAUCUACUUCUAUGUGGAGUCGUUUGAGGACAUGAUGCAGAAAAUGAGAGACCACGUCUCCACAAUCAAGCGGUCAGUUGACCUCCGGUAUGACCCCAUUACGCAGUCGAUCCAGGUGAUCGAACACAAGGAUACCCUGGAGACACUUGCCUCGUCCCUCAGAACGGAAGUCAGGAACCUGGAGAAACUCGUGAAGCGAAUGGACCUCGUCUUCGUGUAAUGAAGCGCCAUGUUAUGACGUCACGAAAAACUAAGUCACCCGGAUGUUACACUUUUAUUGUUACGACAAUGUGUGUAAAUGUAUCCAAGGCAAAUCUAGUAAAACAAUAUAUUACACACGCUUUUUUCCUGCGCUAUUAGACAUUGAAAUUAUCUAACUCUAUAGGGGAAAACAUUAAGUUUAUAUAAUGAUAUCAUUCUAGACUGCAGAAUGGAUUAACGAUUUGAACUGAAUUCGAGCUUUGUUGAAAUAUAAUAAUCUAAUAGUGUCCAUUUAUAAAGAUAUAGGACUCUACUUACUAGUAAUUGCAUGCGCAAUAUUCAUCCGCGAGAAUAGAACAUGUGUUUGAAAGCAAACAUUAACCCGAAAGUUGUCUCAAUUUUUAAGACAUAUAUGUUCAUGACGUAACAGAUCGCGUGACUAAUAUACUUUGUAAUGUAGCAAAGCAUUGUUUACUACAGUCAUUAUUUAUGUCUUAUACGAUGAACAAAUAAAAGAAUGGUACAU